GAUGAACGCUGGCGGCGUGCUUAACACAUGCAAGUCGAACGAAGCUGCUUAAAGGAAGUUUUCGGAUGGAAUUUAGGUAGACUUAGUGGCGGACGGGUGAGUAACGCGUGGAUAACCUGCCUUAUACAGGGGGAUAACGGAGAGAAAUUUCCGCUAACACCGCAUAAGACCACAGCACCGCAUGGUGCAGGGGUAAAAUAUUUAUAGGUAUAAGAUGGAUCCGCGUCCGAUUAGCUUGUUGGUGAGGUAGAGGCUCACCAAGGCGACGAUCGGUAGCCGGCCUGAGAGGGUGAACGGCCACAUUGGGACUGAGACACGGCCCAAACUCCUACGGGAGGCAGCAGUGGGGAAUAUUGGACAAUGGGGGAAACCCUGAUCCAGCGACGCCGCGUGAGUGAAGAAGUAUUUCGGUAUGUAAAGCUCUAUCAGCAGGGAAGAAAAUGACGUACCUGACUAAGAG
rnacentral:rRNA from 1 species